UGAGGUCGGAUGUUCAACUCAUCCUGGUCCCAAUGUAUUCCAUUUUUCCAAGUACUACGGUCUACUUUAAACUAUAAUGAAUAAUAACAAUAAACAUUUAGUCAAUUUCGAUGUUAGGGUAUAUUUACAAGGCAAUUUCAAUUUUAAAAAUUGAAAUUGCCGUUCUAUUAGACUUAAAAUACAUAUUUAGCAAUAUAAAAAACUUUCAACUCAAAAUCCAAAAUUAUGUUUACUAUUAACAACGUUUAAUUUAAUAUGAAACUGUAUAAUACCAAACACUUUCUAAGGAUUUAUUUUUUCUAAAGGUUAAACUAAAAAUUUACUUUGACUUCAAAAGCUUUUUCAUCAAAAUAAAAAUACAGAGGAAAGUAAAUAAAAUUAGUUUUGGUUUAUCUUCCUCUUGGAAAGGAGAUGGAUCUAGUCAUACUUCCCACAGUACGACCACCUUGUUACGACUU
rnacentral:misc_RNA from 2 species